UCUCUCUGUCUCUCUCUUCUUUCUGGUGUGUGUGUGUGGUCUAUCGAUUCUUCCAUUCAUUUUGAAGUUUAAUUCCUCAUUUGUGCAGUUGUGAAGUGGAUCAGGAAUUUUUAUUUUUAUUUUUUGGUGAGGAAGCUAUUCUUGAGUAAUGUUGAUGGAAUGUUGUGAAAUGUCACAAUGUCUCAUCAAGGGAAAGAAUUUUCAAUUGUUUGAGGGCAAUGUUUGAGCUGGGAGAAAGGUGUUACAGUUGGUUUAUCCUGCCAUCUUUUUCGUACGAUUUUGUACCUUACCCCAAAUGCAUUGCAAACGGCUCUGGUGCUCCCCUCUGACUCCUUCCAAUCGAUUCCAAACAAGUUCUGAAAUAUUUCUGCAGGUGAGUUUGUCCCGGAGACUCAGCUACGCAAAAAGCAAGACAAAGACAAGCCCACUGAAUCGUGGAAAGAGUUGUUCUUUGAAGAAUAUUAUGGCGAAAAAUCUGACUUGAUGCACAAAGAGCUAAUGGGAGAUGUUGAAAAUGUAGACGAAAGUCUAGAUGAUCUGGAGCCACCUCCAUUGAGUCCUAUGGAUGCGACCAUCCCCAGUGAAGAUCUUUUAGAUUUUGAUGUCACGGUCGAGCAGGAUGGAGCCUGCCCUCGCCUGUUGAAAGUUGAACCAGAGUUGCCUACUUCAAACUCUUCUACGACACGCUGUCCACCCACUGCACCUUGCACCACGCCUUUGAAGCGUUGCGGUUCUCGUAUCAAUAGAGCUGCGCAGCACCAUAGGAACAGGGCUCGUUUCAGAAAGGGAUGGCGGAGGUUUGGUAGCUACAAGAGCUGGUUAACCACAAGAUCAAAGUCUAUAGAAGCAAAGGGAGUUGGACAUUCUGAGAGUCUUUCUGCCAAGACGAAAUACAAAUGGGAUUAUGUGGCAAAUUGUACGUGCUGGUCACAUGGCUCAACUUGUGAACGGUGCCUGGCAUCAACCUCUAAAUCCACCGAGGUACGGGGCAGAGUCGGUCUUUCGACUGUGGAGAAAGUGAAUGGAGGUUAUACCUUUGGAACCAGCGAAAGAUCAACGGCCGUCCCAGGCUCUGCCGGAAUCAUCUACAAGCGAAGUAGACUGGGAGAAGAAUUGAGUGAAGGCCAGGAUGAAAUGUCAUCUCGGAUUAGUCCAGAAUGUUCAUCACAAAAUGGAGGGCAAGAAAGGCCUGUGUCCAAAAAGUCUCGACCUGGAAGGUCAAAGAGGAAGCGUCGUGCUUACCGAGGAUGCUCCGUGGAUGUUGACAAUGCUGACGAAGCAUUGUCUUGGUGGAAGACCCUGCAAGGUGUUGAACCAUACUUUUCAAUGUGGGACCCAGUGAGAAUUUCCCCAGAGUUUUUAUAUGCCGCUUAUAGCCUCUUUCCCAGUGUGCCGUUGUUGCCAGAGGAUGAGCAAGAUCGCAGGAGCACCUUAAAACUCCCCGACAUUGUGAGAAGCAACAGUGAUAUAGCGGAGUCGUUGACAAUUACAGCUACAACAAUUUCUGACCCCUGUAGGGAUUCUGUCAACGAGAGGUUAGGGUGCUUUGGAAUCCCAUCCCGUUCAAUACAUGAUCAUGCAUUCGGCAAGUUGCCAUGGUCAGGACUGCUUCCCAAGACGACCCAGAGCAUAGGAAAAGAUAUAUCUAUGUCUUUCACAGGAACCUCAAAAAAUGGCAAAGCAGAAGCAAAACCGGGUCUUGUAGGUUUCCCUCGGAGCCUCUUUGAGGCAUUCCCAUUGUUCUCGGAUGAUCGGCAUAAUGACUGUGUUGGAGAGGGUACAAGCAGAAAGCCUGUCUGCUCAGAGGAGUUUUUACCGAAUGACUUGAGGGAUCAGAGACAGGGCACUUGUGACUCACUCGGCACUGCUAUUUGGUGUGCCACUGUGACUUCCAUCCCAGUGUGCAGCCCCACAUUGAGUGCCGUCGCAGUGCAAGUGGGCAGAUCCCCACUUGAUCACCUAUCUACAAGCCAAAGUGCUGUAAAUGGAAGGGAAGGGCAGGGGUGGUCACACCACAGAUGAAGAACGCUCAGUGUCCUGUUGCUUUGAUAGGCAAUGUGACAGGGACUGCACAUCUGGGCUGUGAAGCAGCCAACCACAAACCUGGUUCGGCACACUCUAAGGAUAUGUAUGUUGCCUUUCCUGUCUCGCAAUCGGCCUUUUGGUGUCUUGCGUGUGUCCCAUUGUGUGUGCUUCCUGUGUGUGUGUGUGUGUGUGGCAAAGUGGCAUGGGCAAUUACAAUGUGACUUUAGGGUUCUGCGAUCGAUUUCCUGCUGAAUGUACACCAUAACUCACACUGCCACGUUGGUGUGGGUGACUGCACAUCAAAGUGGAAAGCCAAUAUGCCACCUUUUAAAGAGAUGCCAUUUCACUUCAUUGGGAAAAUUGUGUGCAGGUUCACUGGAAGAAAAACAAACAAACAAACAAAAAUCCCCGUUUCCUCGAAACAAGGCAUUUCUGCUGUGGACCCGCCACUCCUCGAGGUGCUUGGCUGGAUUGGUUGAAACCCAAAUGGAGUGGUGGUGCUUGUGAUUAUUAUGAUGAUGAUGAGGAAGAGUGUGUCUGCGUCGUUGUCUGUCUGUAAUACUGCGUGCAUUAUCUGGAUAAUUGUAAAAGCCACCUUAUUCCACUUAAAGUGGUUAAGCCUCCACACUUUGGGGGCAAAACAGCGGUUGUUCGUCUUGUGUUUGUGUGUGUGUGUGUGUGUGUGUGUAUGUGUACUGCUGAACAUUUCUGCACUUCCAGUAAUAGAUGUGCCUGGAGCAUACCAGCGUUUUGUCCCAUGCGGAUAAGGCAGGGCACUUAAAUUAAUAGUGAUACACGGACAACCGUAUUUUCUUCAUGCACUUUCGUGUGCCGGUGUCAUGAGGAUUACUGCUUCCCACCCGCUCCUCACUAUCGAGAAGUAACCUCUUAAUUCCAUGACUUCCUGUAGCAGUUCCAUUGAGCAUCAAUCGGGGUUGGACGAAGAAACGGGGCUUUGGGUUGGGAUUGGGGAGAUGAAGCGUUAUGGGUUUGUGCCUUCCGUGCUUGAAAUCCCAGGCAAGACCGAGAUCUGUCUGGUAUGACCGGGCUUUUAUAGAUGGCCUUACAUGAACAGAAGUGAACUUGAACUUGACAGUUUAAGCUGUUCACAUUUGCAGUAGAAAAAAAUUACAGUACAACGUUUUAAUUUCUAGCUUGCGUACAAAUUUGAAAAUUGGAUGUCGAAGUUUUUUUUUUGUUGUUGUUUGAUUCAUCGAGUGACAUGUUUUAUUGCCCCGUCCACCCCCGACUUGGCAACUUGGGCCUAGUAAACUAGUUUAAUCAGUUCCACGUUUCAGCUGUAUUGCUUAAAAUGAUCUCAUUUUCCUUGUGAAAUGUCCUCCCCUUCCUUUUGUUUUUCGUUCUCUCUCUCUCUCACCGCACAGUCUUUUGCCGGUCUUAUUUAUUAACAACGAUGGUGAUGUGAAGAAGCGAAGCAGGAGUGUUACAGGUUGUUGUUAUGAUUUUUUUUUUUCCAAUUCUCAGUCCAUCACCUCGGUGGCUGCACAAGGUGUCUGCAGUUUGGCGAAUCGAGGCCCUCGGGGGGGGGGGGGGUUGGAAAAAGAGAGGGAAAAGGCGGGGGGGGUUGAGGGGGCAGAUUUUCCGGAAGGAACCGCUGUUGGUGGGGCGGGUGGGAGGGGGGGCGGGGGGGGGGGGGGGGGUUUAGAAAGAAGAAGAAAUGACGGUGUAGUUUAGCGGAACAUUCUUGAGGAUGUAAACAUCGAUUCAUGAGGAUGUUGGACGGAGAUGUGAUUGUGUGUGCAAGGCUUGGGGCUUUCUUAUUUAUAUGGUUUUUAAUUGUCGUUCCCUUGCUUUGUUCAUGCCGUAACAAUUUAUUUCACAGGUACGUGGAUCUUUUUAUUUGUUUUUCACGCAAUGGUACGAUGACCAGGUAUUUCUGUAAUUUAAAUUUUUUUUAUUUUUUAUUUUUUGGCCUGUGGAUUGAACAGGGAUUGAUCUGCUCUUGAGCCAUUUGGUUUCUUUUUAUUACUUACCUCCCCCUUCACCCCCCCCCUCCUUCCCCCUUGUGCCUUUGUGAUUGGAGAGCAAGAACCUUCGAGGCUGUGUGAUGGCCAAGGCUGACAAAUGACCACCAACUUCCACGUCGCUCCCUAACAUUACCGUUUUGAAUCCGAGCGCAGACACCGUGACACGACUACAUUUGGUUCUUAUAGCUGGCAGGACAUUUGGCCCUGCUGUGCAAGAUGCAUCUGUCACGCUGCCUCGAGUGCUGAGACGAGCCUUGCUCCCGUGCCGUGCCGUGCUGUGCAUGCUUAUACUAACUCUUGCUGCGCAUCCGCCCACUCAACAGCUUCCCCCAUCACAUUUUUCACAUUACUCUCAAUGCUGUGUCGUUCCCGAUUCGGUUCGCAAGACAAACAAUGCGCCACACUACAAAAACCAACCCGUCACCAUGCUUCCAGAAAUUAAAUUGUACUUCUGACCAGUGUGGUCUUUUAGUGAUUUGUUUUUUUUUUGUUCUUGUUCUUGUUGGUUGUUUGUUUUUUUUUUUUUGUUUAUUUCCAUUCCCCAUCCUAUUUCGACGUUGUUUCAGGGAAGUACGAAAGCUUCUUCUGUUCUUCUCCCCCUCCCCCCACCCAACACUCUCAUUAGUUUGCUUUUCAUGAAAACCCUGCAUUUUCAUACUCACAAUUUAAGUUCUUCGGUUUCGUAGCAAAUUAACAACAAAUUCUUGAAAUAAUCUGAUGGUGUGUUUGUGCAACACUUUGUUUUUUUCACUGCCAGUACUAUAGAUAGACUAAAAUGUAUUGCAGAUGCAGCACCUGACAUGUUUACAGAUUUAGUGUAGGUAGGUAGGUAGGUAGGUAGGUAGGCAUCAGGUUGCUUGUUGCUGGAGCAAACCUGACACCUGCAUAGUAAGGGUGGAGUCUGAAUAUAUUGGCCAUCACCUGCCAAAUGGAGUCUCAUCUUAUUUCCGGAACGUUGUCUGCUUGGAAGACUUCUCAUCCCUUCCACUCCAGCACCUCCUCAACAUGUCUGUUUUACUUCCUGUAAAAAAAAAAAAAAAUUGUCAUCCUUUGCGAGGAGGCUUGCCUGUUUGUUUCCAGGCCUUGUUGGGAUGAGAAUGUGUUUUGCCACAUGGGGAUAAGGUAGGAGAGCCGUGAUUUAUUUUCUGGGAAUGGGUGGUGAGAGUGUGAGGGGGGAGGGGGGGGAGGAGAAGGAGGGUUAGGGGACGAACCUCUGACUGUGGGCCGGUGAGAUUGCAGCAAUGUACUUUGCACGCCGUUCCACUGAGUGUGUGUCUGCCAAAGCUGUAGCACGUUGGAUGCCUGACAGAGCCGUGCUGAAUGUAUAUACGGGACUUCGGUGGUCGCCCGUUUAUCACCGUACGCUCUCGCCCUCUAUACCUUCCUUGUUUGAAUGUACCCACACCCCCGGAAAGUACCCCGGCCUCCCGCGGGUGCUCCGAAGGCCGUUUCAAAUGCACUUUUUGGAGGCACUGCUUGCAUAUCUACAAGGAGCUUGCUUGCACAUUUACACUUCAGAUUUUUAUCGUUUCCGAAAAACAAACAAACAAGUUGCUGUAUUAUAAUGAUGGUGAUAAUAAUAUAUAAAGAUAUAUAUCUAAACUCGGUCCAUCGUGAAAACUAUUUUGUGUUGCAUAUUCACUGUUUCUAUUAAAG
rnacentral:lncRNA from 1 species